UACGGAGGGUGCAAGCGUUAUCCGGAUUCACUGGGUUUAAAGGGUGCGUAGGUGGGUCUGUAAGUCAGUGGUGAAAUCUCCAAGCUUAACUUGGAAACUGCCAUUGAUACUAUAGGUCUUGAAUAUCCUGGAGGUGAGCGGAAUAUGUCAUGUAGCGGUGAAAUGCUUAGAUAUGACAUAGAACACCAAUUGCGAAGGCAGCUCACUACGGGAUUAUUGACACUGAGGCACGAAAGCGUGGGGAUCAAACAGGA
rnacentral:rRNA from 1 species